rnacentral:rRNA from 1 species
AUUGAACGCUGGCGGCAGGCCUAACACAUGCAAGUCGAGCGGAUGAUGGGAGCUUGCUCCUUGAUUCAGCGGCGGACGGGUGAGUAAUGCCUAGGAAUCUGCCUGGUAGUGGGGGACUACGUUUCGAAAGGAACGCUAAUACCGCAUACGUCCUACGGGGGAAAGCAGGGGACCUUCGGGCCUUGCGCUAUCAGAUGAGCCUAGGUCGGAUUAGCUAGUUGGUGGGGUAAUGGCUCACCAAGGCGACGAUCCGUAACUGGUCUGAGAGGAUGAUCAGUCACACUGGAACUGAGACACGGUCCAGACUCCUACGGGAGGCAGCAGUGGGGAAUAUUGGACAAUGGGCGAAAGCCUGAUCCAGCCAUGCCGCGUGUGUGAAGAAGGUCUUCGGAUUGUAAAGCACUUUAAGUUGGGAGGAAGGGCAGUAAGCUAAUACCUUGCUGUUUUGACGUUACCGACAGAAUAAGCACCGGCUAACUCUGUGCCAGCCGCCGCCGUAACAC